rnacentral:tRNA from 4 species
GUUCUCAUAGUUGAAUUACAACGGUGGUUUUUCAAGUCAUUAGUCCUGGUUAAAAUCCUGGUGAGAAUU